rnacentral:lncRNA from 1 species
CAGCUGAGAUCUGGAUGUUUACCUGGGUACAUGCUAUAGAUAAUGAGAGGCAGAUGAAUAUUCUAUUAAUCUAAUUGUUUGUUCCCAUGUCUAAGUGAAUAAAAGUGAGGUGAGCCAAAGGCUUAGGGCUUUGUCCCAUAGAGGAAAAGAGGCCCCUGGCCCCUUCAUUCUAAAUUAUCUUUGUGUCUUUUGUUUUUCAUCCUCAUUUGCCUGCUAGUCAGAGAUAGACUCAUAGGCUGGUUCCCACAAGUGGUGCCCAAACAGGAUCCUGACCUGGGAAAGUCUGCCUGAAUGGAAGGUGUUGGGAAUAAGUGACAAGAAGUUCCACAGUGGAGAUGAGUUGAGCCAGCUGACAAGAAAACAAAAGAAAUGGAUGGGCAAUGUGGGUGCCCUCUAGGAACGUGCAACCACAGAGGAGUCCCCCCCUCUCAUGACAUGCCUGUGAUGGAGCUUGAUUGCUCUCUCCACCAGUGAGUGCCUCCUCCCAGAUGACAUUAGAUGACAUCUGCCACCUCAGGAGAGGAACCCAACAAUGUAUGCAAACAGACAACCACACUUCAUUUUGCUUCAGCUCCUGCUAUUACAAAAACAAAAAGGGGAGAUGUAGGAGACCAGAUAAUGAGGAUUGAGGCCUAAUCGAUCUUCUGCAAGCACCAAAGAGAAAAACAGCAAGCCGCAUUUCCUCUGGCAAUGUGCAGGCAUGCUAGCACAUUGGAAGUUUUGGAGAAGAGUCAAUACAGUUGAGAUCUGGAUGUUUACUUGGGUACAUGCUAUAGAUAACAAGAGGCAGAUGAAUCUUCUAUUAACCUAAUAGUUCAUUCCUGUGUCUAAGUGAAUAAAAACAAGAUGAGCCAAACGCUUAGGGCU